rnacentral:rRNA from 1 species
UCGAGCGAGAAAGGGGCUUCGGCCCUGAGUACAGCGGCGGACGGGUGAGUAAUACGUAGGUAACCUGCCUUUCAGUGGGGGACAACGGUCCGAAAGGACCGCUAAUACCGCAUCCGUUUCCCGGGUCCCCGGACCUGGGAAGGAAAGCUGCCCGCAAGGGUGGCGCUGGAAGAGGGGCCUACGUCGCAUCAGCUAGUUGGUGGGGUAACGGCCUACCAAGGCGAAGACGCGUAGCUGGUCUGAGAGGAUGAUCAGCCACACUGGGACUGAGACACGGCCCAGACUCCUACGGGAGGCAGCAGUGGGGAAUAUUGGACAAUGGGGGCAACCCUGAUCCAGCCACGCCGCGUGAGUGAUGAAGGCCUUCGGGUCGUAAAGCUCUGUGGGGAGAGACGAACGUCCGGCAUGACCUGCCGGGGUGACGGUAUCUCCUUAGCAAGCACCGGCUAACUUCGUGCCAGCAGCCGCGGUAAUACGAAGGGUGCAAACGUUG